UGUGCUCAAGCGCGAGGUGACGCCGCGACAGGGCCGGAAGGAGUGCUGCGGCUGCCGAGGAGUAAGCGGCGCGGUAGCGAAGGCCGCCGAACCCGCCUGGCUAGUCGGCGAAUAGAGUGGCGACCCUUUUGAAACAGAUGGUCACCAUGUUUAGAUAUUAGCAGUCCCGUAUGUGCAUGUCUGCAUUUGAAAAUGGAAGAGGGAAACAACAAUGAAGAGGUAAUUCACUUGAACAACUUUCACUGCCAUCGGGGACAAGGUGAGUUGUUUGCUCUCACUUCAUCCCUUUCCCUGUGGCUUUUUCUUUCAGUGUCACAGCUAUAUCUUUUGAAAUGAACCUAUUUUGGACCAUUUAGAAUCCAGGGACAUUUCAUUUUUGACAUAAAAAGACUAGUUAGACUAGAAUUAUGUCAGAUAAUGAUAUUGCUGGCAUGAAUGAAGUGUAAGACUCAUUCAUUACAACUAAAUUAAUAAGCUAUUAAUUUGCUGGCAAGACGCUGUUAAUAUGCAGUCAUUGAAUCUUAAGAGACAGUGUCAGCAUCAGUUUUUGAAGGCGUGGUGAUUAUAAAGGAGUGCUCCACUAGGCCUUUAUGAUCUGAAAUACUACAGGUGAUGCUGAACCAGUCUUGUCCUCCCAUGAUGCUUAAUUUCUUUUUUGCCAGAAGAUUCUGGCUUAGCCUUGAGGGGAAUUUUGGAACAUGUAUUUUUUUGUUCUACAGUUUUGUUUUUUCUUUCUUUUUUUGAGACGGAAUUUCGCUCAUUGCUCAGGCUGGAGUGCAAUGGUGUAAUCUCGGCUCACCGCACCCUGCACGUCCCGGGUUCAAGCGAUUCUCCUGCCUCAGCCUCCCGAGUAGCUGGGUUAUAGGCAUGUGCCACUGUGCCCUGCUAAUUUUGUAUUUUUAGUAGAGAUGGCGUUUCUCCAUGUUGUUCAGGCUGGUCUUGAUCUCCCGACCUGAGGUGAUCCGCCUGCCUCGGCCUCCCAAAGUGCUGGCGUGAGCCACCUGCCUGGCCACAUUUCUUAAUUUUCAUUAUAAAAGGGAUAAAUAUGGGCCAGACACAUGGCUCACACCUUUAAUCCUGGCAUUUUGGGAGGCUGAGGCAAGAGGAUUUGCCUGAAUCCAGGAAUUCAAGGCUGCAGUGAGCUGUGUUAUGCUACUGCACUCAAGCCUGGGAGACAGAGUGAGACCUUGUCUCUAUUUAAAAAAAAUUUGUUAUAAGUGAUAAAUAUGCUGUUUUAAAAAAUAAGUUCUCCUGAAGAAUAUAAAAUGAAAAAUAUACUCUUUCCCCUCCUUCUGAUCUGCAGAGGUGAAAUAGUUGUAAAAUUUUUUUUUUUUUUUUUUGAAGACGGAGUCUCGUUCUGUUGCCCAGGCUGGAGUGCAGUGGUGUGAUCUUGGCUUACAGCAAUCUCUGCCUCCCAGGUUCAAGCAAUUCUCCUGCCUCAGUCUCCUGAGUAACUGGCAUUACAGGCGUACUCCACCACGCCUGGCUAAUUUUUGUAUUUUUAGUAGAGACAGGGUUUCACCAUGUUGGUCAGGCUGGUCUUGAAUCCCUGACCUCGUGAUCUGCUCGCCUUGGCCUCCCAGAGUGCUGGGAUUACAGCCAUGAGCCACCAUGCCCAGCCUGGUGGUAAAUUUAAACAAAAUAGACAGUUCACUGAACACCUGUCCUCAAAGUUCCUAUCUUAUACUGUAGUUCUCAGUCAGGGGUGCAGGUGGGUUUCUUCCCUGCCAAGGCUGAGAAGGAAGGGCCCCUUUCCAGGUGCUUAGCCCAAUGUGGAUACUUUUUUCUAAUUUGUACAAUGACACUGUUGGAGCCAGUAGUGGCCUUGUCUGAUCCCACUUCUGUACAGAGGCAACUACUGUCAUCAGAUUUUUUUUUUUAUAUUUAUUUAUUUAUUUUUGAGACGGAGUCUCACUCUUGUCACCUAGGCUAGAGUGCAAUGGUGUGAUCUCAGCUCACUGCAGUCUCUGCCUCCCAGGUUCAAGUGAUUCUCCUGCCUCAGUCUCCCAGGUAGCUGGGAUUACAGGCAUGCACCAUCAUGUCUGGCUAAUUUUUGUAUUUUUAGUAGAGACAGAGUUUCCCAUGUUGGCCAGGCUGGUCUUGAACUCCUGACCUCAAGUGAUACACCUACCUCGGCCUCCCAAAGUGCUGGGAUUACAGAUGUGAGCCACUGCACCUGGCCUUCCCUUAAUCUUUAUCAAUUUUACUUAACAUGCUUCUCAGUAAGCUACCACCAUGCCCAGCUAAUUUUUGUAUUUUUAGUAGAGAUGGGAUUUCACCAUGUUGGCCAGGCUGGUCUCGAACUCCUGACCUCAAGUUAUCCCCCUGCCUCAGCCUCCCAAAGUGCUGGGAGAUGUGAGCCACUGUGCCCAGCAAACCUUUUAUUUUAUUUAUUUAUUUAUUUAUUUUUUUUUUUGAGAGAGUUUUGCCCUUGUCGCCCGAGCUGGAGUGCAAUGGCAUGAUCUCAGCUCACUGCAACCUUCGCCUCCCAGGUUCAGGUGAUUCUCCUGCCUCAGCCUCCCGAAUAGCUGGGAUUACAGGCAUGUGUUACCUCACCUGGCUUCGAUUACCCAAACUCUUAAAGCAUUUUUUUAUUUUUCAACGAGAGACUCUACCUGGGUAUUUAAUCUUCGGUACAGUGAGGAAAGAAAGCCAUUUGGUUAUUUACAUGCCAGUUACUCACUCUUCUCAAGCCUUUCCACAUAUUCUUUAUUGUGUAUAGUUUUUAAACUUGGUUAUUGUAGAAUAUAGUAUACAUAAAGAAAAAUGAACAAAAUAAAGAUGCACAGCUCAAUAAUUUAUCACAAACCAAACAUUUAUGGAACCACAACCCAGAAAUCUUCAAGAAAUAGAACGCUGCCAUCCUCUUUAAACACUACAUAAAGAUUUUGUAUAGUCUGUAGUUUUUGAGUCUGAUUUCUUUUCACUCAGCAUUAUGUUAGGUUUAUUCAUGUGGGGUAGAACCACAGUUUAUAUAUUUUUCAUUGUUAAGUGGUAUUCCAUUUAUACCACUUAGCAAUGAAAUUUUCCAUGUACUUUUGGUAGGCAUUUGAGUUCUGACUGUCACAAAUAAUGUAGCUGUGAACAUUCUCCUGCUUGUCUCCUGAACUCUACUUGCGCCACACCCUGGCAUCCACCUUCCUGUUGGCUGUGUUUGUGUCUUCCAGCAGAAUUGUUUGUUGGAGACUUUUUUCCCCUCCUAAGCUUUUAACAUACUUUGUUUUUGGGUUUCUAAGUGGCAUGAUAAUAACUACAUUUUUUUUUAAUUACUAAGCUUUAUUUUUUAGAGCAGUUUUAGGUUUACAGGAAAAUUGAGCAGCAAUGACUACAUUUUUACAAUGAAAACUUUCUUGUAGGCUUCUACUCAUCUAAAAAGAAAUUCAUAUGUGUGAAUUGCUUUAACAACUCUUCGACAAUACUGAGUUAUGAUGUUAUUUUUCUAGUUAACUAGGGUAGGCAUGAAGUAGCAUAAGUGACAUUUCUUUGCUAAUUGGCUGUGUUUUUCAUAUAUUUGUUUAGUAAUUGUAUUUCCCUUGUAUGUAAAUUGUUUACUUCUGUCUUCUCUUUGAAUUCCUGUUUUUUUUUUUUUUUUGGUUAAUGUUUUCCUGGUUAUGAAAUGUAAUACAGGUUUGUUCAUUACAGAAAAUGUAAAUGAUAGAGAAAAGUAUAAACUUAGCUCAUUUAUAGAACAAUGGUUUGAAUACCAGAUACCAUGUUUUAGUAUUUUUUAACAAUUUAACCUCAUAGAAAUUGAGUAUACUUCAAUGUUUUUGUCUCCUGCUGCAAAUGAAUGUCAUGUUUAAAUAUAUCUUCAAGAUUGUCUAUAAAAAUCACUAAAUUGUAAUCAAAUUGACACCUUAACAGUUCUGUUCUGCUUCCUGAGUCUCACACGUGUACUUAUUUUUAGGGACUUGCUGACCCUCUGUGCUUUUUGUGUCACUCAGAAACAAACAUUGAUCCUUAAACACAUUAAAAUUCUCGUGAAAUCCAAGAA